GGGGAUAUAGCUCAAUGGCUUAAGCUCCUACCUGGCAAGCACAAGGUCUUGAGUUCAAUUCCCAGUAUCCUCC
rnacentral:tRNA from 1 species